UGUGUGGCACUAAGAGAUGAAUUACAGAAGAGAAAUUUGAGACACAGAGAGAGUGAGCCGAGAAAGAUAAGAGAGAAAGAGAGAGAGCCAAGAUGAGCAGACAGAGAGGUCCGAGAGUUGCAGAGAAGGCCGGAAGCUUGAGGCUUCAAUGAUCUAGUGAGGAAAAAAAUUCUUUUUUUCACGGAUACGGAAGGGAAGUGGCGGAUGAUGCUCCUCCACAGGGUUCGAUGGGAAACGGGAAAGAAGUGGCGGAUGACAUUCUACCACAGACUUAGUAUGGAUUAGGAACUUAUUUUGUUGUUUUUGUACUUGGGUUACUCUAUUUUUGUAAGACUAAGCAUAAUUUAUUUUGUACGAUGACUUAUGGACUUUGAAUAUUAUAAUUAUACCUGUGGGCUUGUAAAGCAUAAACAUUUUAUCUUAAUUUUGUAUUUUGGAACUGUAAUUAUGAUACUUGGAUGAUAUAGUAUGUGAUUGUACCACCAUGGAAUGUAUUA